AAUUCGCCCUUAGAGUUUGAUCAUGGCUCAGAUUGAACGCUGGCGGCAGGCUUAACACAUGCAAGUCGAGCGGAGAGAGGUAGCUUGCUACUGAUCUUAGCGGCGGACGGGUGAGUAAUACUUAGGAAUCUGGCUAUUAGUGGGGGACAACAUUUCGAAGGGGAUGCUAAUACCGCAUACGUCCUACGGGAGAAAGCAGGGGAUCUUCGGACCUUGCGCUAAUAGAUGAGCCUAAGUCGGAUUAGCUAGUUGGUGGGGUAAAGGCCUACCAAGGCGACGAUCUGUAGCGGGUCUGAGAGGAUGAUCCGCCACACUGGGACUGAGACACGGCCCAGACUCCUACGGGAGGCAGCAGUGGGGAAUAUUGGACAAUGGGGGGAACCCUGAUCCAGCCAUGCCGCGUGUGUGAAGAAGGCCUUAUGGUUGUAAAGCCCUUUAAGCGAGGAGGAGGGUACUGGUAUUAAUACUACCAGGUA
rnacentral:rRNA from 1 species